GCGCCCAUAGCUCAAUUGGAUAGAGCAUUUGGCUUCGGACCAAAGGGUUGGGGGUUCAAGUCCUCCUGGGCGCG
rnacentral:tRNA from 1 species